AAGGUGGUCUGACAAACAGUUAGAGCGUCCGCCUCAGAUGCGGAAGGUCCUGGGUUCGAACACCAGCCGAAUCA